rnacentral:lncRNA from 1 species
UCUCUACAAACACCUCCAAAUCUCGAUCUCCCCCCUCCUCCGAUCUCUCCGUCGCCAAUCGACCACCAAAACCACCCCCUCCGCUCCGAGUCCUCGUCGCCAUGCCACCAUCUCCGGCGAACAGCCUUCGCCGUCGCCUCUUCCUUCUCCUUCAUACGCGCCGCCAGCUCCUACCCCAAGCGAGUCCAGCCGUUGCUCCAAUGGACAGCCCCCUCCCUUCUCUUCCUCCACCGGCGAACAGCGCCGCCAUCGACGGAAAUGGCCAGCCAAGCCUCCACGCCACCGCUCCAUCCUCCGUCCUCUAGUCGCCUUCUUUCUCCCCUCCGGCGAACGUCCAACAGCCGUGACACAGCCUCGACUCCUCUCCCACGGUGAUACCUCCGGCAAACCCCUUCGGCGUUCCAACCAUGCAACCCUUCCUCAUCGAAAAUGAAGAAUCCGUCUUCAGGUUUGAAAAAAAAUGGUGAGUCAAUUUGUUCGUCUCUCUCUGGUAUGUGCAAACACGCCUAACUUCUUGCAACUUCACAUUUUUUAUGCCUCUUAGUCAAUAUGGGUAAUUUUGUAUGGGAAAAGCAUGUAUGUGACGAUUCGAGGAUUUUUUCGUAAAUCUUUAAUAAGGCUAAUAUGUGCACGUUUUGACUGUUUGGGUAUGAUCCUGUACCAAUUUGAUUUGAGAAAAGCAUCUCAGUAAUUGAUUUUUUAUUUUUCGGAUUUUUUCGUAAAUCUUUAAUAAGGCUAAUAUGUGCACGUUUUGACUGUUUGGGUAUGAUCCUGUACCAAUUUGAUUUGAGAAAAGCAUCUCAGUAAUUGAUUUUUUAUUUUUCUUGCCUUACUUGGUUGACAGACAUCCCCUCACACGUUAAUUAUGGUAAAUUUAGAUACCUCUUCUUGAUUUCAUUUAAUAAGUAGGAAGGAUCUCUUUUUACUUGUUCUAUUCAUGGAAAUUUCAAAUGUUAUAAUAGGGUAUUAUUUAUUUGUGUGAAUUCAACAUGAAAUCUCAUGUUGGUCAACUCACUUCAUGUAACCAUUAGAAUACACCCUUUGGUGUUACUUUAUAUGAAAUUUUAAGUUUUUUUUUAAAAAAAAAUAUGUGAUCUAAACGAUGCCAUAAACACUAGGCAAACCGAUAACGACUAGAGUCUAGCCUAUCCUAACACAAGCAUAGGAUAGUGAAUCAAGA